GACGUCCGAGAUUCGUCCACGUCAUCAUGAGUUAAAAUUUAACUCGCAGAUUCACUCAUGAGUUAAAAUUUUACUCGGAGUUAAAUUUUAACUCAUGAUGACGUGGACGAAUCUCGGACGUC
rnacentral:pre_miRNA from 1 species